AUGCCGCCGCCGCCCUCCGCCCUCACCGCCUCCGCCGCCGCGUCCUCCUUCCUACGCUCGCUACCUCCUCCUAACCUCUCCGCCCACGCCACCCUCCGGCCUUUCCCAUCCCUCAGACGCUCAGCAGGCCACUCCCGAGUGGUCGCGCGAGCCUCUGCGUCAGGCGCAGCCGCCGAGGCUGAGACGGUGUUCUUCGACGGCGGCGCGCACUACGGCGACCUUGCGGCGAACCUCGUCCUCGGGCUGACCCUGCUGUGGCUGCCGCUGACCCUCGCUUCCGUGUCCCGUGCGCUCCUCCUCCGGUACCGCUUCACCUCCCGCCGCGUGACCGUCAUCUCCGGGCUCUCCGGCGACGACCGCACGGACUUCCCCUACUCGUCGGUCAGGGAGGUGGUGGUCGUGCCGCGGUUCAUCGGCGAGUGGGGCGACAUCGUCAUCACGCUCAAGGACGGCACCAAGGUCGACCUCAGGAGCGUGCCCAGGUUCCGCGAGGUCGCCGACUACUGCCGCAAAAUGGCCGCCGCCGAGGGCGGGCUCGGGACCCGGUGA
rnacentral:rRNA from 1 species